CGUAACAAGGUCUCCGUAGGUGAACCUGCGGAGGGAUCAUUACACAAAUGUGAAGGCGGGCUGGAACCUCUCGGGGUUACAGCCUUGCUGAAUUAUUCACCCUUGUCUUUUGCGUACUUCUUGUUUCCUUGGUGGGUUCGCCCACCACUAGGACAAACAUAAACCUUUUGUAAUUGCAAUCAGCGUCAGUAACAAAUUAAUAAUUACAACUUUCAACAACGGAUCUCUUGGUUCUGGCAUCGAUGAAGAACGCAGCGAAAUGCGAUAAGUAGUGUGAAUUGCAGAAUUCAGUGAAUCAUCGAAUCUUUGAACGCACAUUGCGCCCUUUGGUAUUCCAAAGGGCAUGCCCGUUCGAGCGUCAUUUGUACCCUCAAGCUUUGCUUGGUGUUGGGCGUCUUGUCUCUAGCUUUGCUGGAGACUCGCCUUAAAGUAAUUGGCAGCCGGCCUACUGGUUUCGGAGCGCAGCACAAGUCGCACUCUCUAUCAGCAAAGGUCUAGCAUCCAUUAAGCCUUUUUUUCAACUUUUGACCUCGGAUCAGGUAGGGAUACCCGCUGAACUUAAGCAUAUCA
rnacentral:rRNA from 1 species